AACACCACCUAUUGCGUUCUUUUUUCUCCUGAAUUGAAAAAUCAAAAUUGUAGAUGGAUCAUAAGUAGACUUGCCAAUUUUUCUUCAAUUCUCCGUUCUCUGUCCUUAAUAGGAGGAGGAAAUGCCGAUCUUUAGUUCUUCGUCGUCGUCCUCCUCUAGCUCUUCAAAAUCAUGGAUCCUAAAUGGUCUAGUUGUAGGAGCUGCAACGGCCGCCGCUCUCGGCGCUCGUUCGUACCUUGCCCGAUCCAGCAGGUUUCGGAGCCGGGUCAUUGGAAUUAUACCCGCCCGUUUUGCUUCCACUCGCUUCCAGGGUAAACCCCUUGUUCAUAUCCUGGGAAAACCCAUGAUUCAGAGAACAUGGGAAAGAGCAAAACUUGCUGCUACAUUGGAUCACGUUGUUGUGGCAACAGAUGAUGAAAAGAUAGCUGAGUGCUGUCAAGGUUUUGGUGCUGAAGUAAUAAUGACCUCUGAAUCAUGUAGAAAUGGAACCGAGCGUUGUAAUGAAGCUCUUCAAAAGCUUGGGAAGAAAUAUGACAUUGUCGUUAACAUACAAGGAGAUGAACCUCUUAUUGACCCAGAGAUAAUAGAUGGCAUUGUCAAAGCCCUGCAGGCUGCACCAGACGCGGUAUUUAGCACUGCUGUGACGUCUUUGAAACCUGAGGAUGCAUUUGAUCCAAAUCGUGUUAAAUGUGUGGUUGACAAUCGUGGUUAUGCAAUCUAUUUUUCACGAGGAUUGAUUCCUUAUAACAAGUUUGGCAAGGUUAAUCCUCAGUUUCCUUACUUGCUGCACCUAGGAAUUCAGAGCUAUGAUUCCAAGUUCCUGAAAAUAUACUCAGAAUUGGAAUCUACACCGUUGCAACUUGAAGAAGACCUUGAACAGUUGAAGGUCCUUGAGAAUGGCUACAAGAUGAAGGUGAUAAAAGUUGACCAUGAGACUCAUGGUGUUGACACCCCGGAAGAUGUAGACAAGAUAGAGCAGUUCAUGCGGGAGGGAAACUUGUCUUAGAGCUGAGCCUCUGGCGCCGGGAAAGAGAAGAAGAAGAAGAAUGCAUGGUCAUUUUGAAGAGGAAGUUGCUGCUAGCUACUGUUUCCAAUAUUGAUUUGGGCUGAAUUUGUCUCUACUCAUAAAGAACGUGAGUUGAAACUUUUGACCAUUCAGAGAAACAGACUGACCCAGACACAGGUCCAGUGCUGGCGUGGAAAUGGCUAUAUUAGGGAGAAAAGGCGGAGAGUAAUAAUGGGCAUGUUGGGUGGGGUGUUCAAAGUUCCAAGUCUUUGUGCUAAUAGUACUCUUAACUACACGAGGAUGGCAUGGGAGAUUGAUUCCCAAAGCUUGUGCUUGCCAAUGGUUUCACACAUUUUGUCUCCUCUACUACCAACUCAAAUUACACUUUCUUUCUUUAACUACGUUUUCUCCAUUUGUUUCUCCCUUAUAUUAGUAUUUGUUUUGGAGUUGGAUUAAUAUUGUAUUCACAAGUCUUACUUUGGAGUAAAGUAAUCCAUGUUAAAGUUGGUUUCAUUUUUAAGACUUGAACCUGAGACAUGUGAUUAAAAAUAAAAGAGAUCCUUACCAUCCUA